rnacentral:rRNA from 1 species
GCAUGCCUACAUCAUAGUGUUAAUGCACUAGAUACCAUUAUAACUCUGCAGUUAAGCACACUCAGGCUAGAUUAGUACUAGGAUUGGUGACCACCCUGGAAUUCCUAGUGUUUUACAUGCC